rnacentral:rRNA from 1 species
AACCGUAAGGAGCCAGCGGCCGAAGGUGGGAUUGGUGAUUGGGGUGAAGUCGUAACAAGGUAGCCGUAGGAGAACCUGCGGCUGGAUCACCUCCUUUCUAGGGAGU